rnacentral:rRNA from 1 species
UACGGAGGGGGCAAGCGUUAAUCGGAAUUACUGGGCGUAAAGCGUGCGCAGGCGGUGAUGUAAGACAGAUGUGAAAUCCCCGGGCUCAACCUGGGAACUGCAUUUGUGACUGCAUCGCUGGAGUGCGGCAGAGGGGGAUGGAAUUCCGCGUGUAGCAGUGAAAUGCGUAGAUAUGCGGAGGAACACCGAUGGCGAAGGCAAUCCCCUGGGCCUGCACUGACGCUCAUGCACGAAAGCGUGGGGAGCAAACAGG